rnacentral:tRNA from 1 species
GCUGCAGUAGCUCAGUAGGUAGAGCACGUGCAUGGUAAGCACGAGGUCACCGGUUCAAUUCCGGUCUGCAGCUCCA